rnacentral:rRNA from 1 species
UACGUAGGGCGCAAGCGUUGUCCGGAAUUAUUGGGCGUAAAGAGCUCGUAGGCGGCUUGUCGCGUCGAUUGUGAAAGCCCGGGGCUUAACCUCGGGUCUGCAGUCGAUACGGGCUGGCUAGAGUGUGGUAGGGGAGAUCGGAAUUCCUGGUGUAGCGGUGAAAUGCGCAGAUAUCAGGAGGAACACCGGUGGCGAAGGCGGGUCUCUGGGCCGAUACUGACGCUGAGGAGCGAAAGCGUGGGGAGCGAACAGG